rnacentral:rRNA from 1 species
AGAGUUUGAUCCUGGCUCAGAGUGAACGCUGGCGGCAUGCCUAACACAUGCAAGUCGAACGGUAACAGGCCCGCAAGGGUGCUGACGAGUGGCGGACGGGUGAGGAAUACAUCGGAAUCUGCCCGGUCGUGGGGGAUAACGUAGGGAAACUUACGCUAAUACCGCAUGAGACCGAGAGGUGAAAGCGGGGGAUCGCAAGACCUCGCGCGAUCGGAUGAGCCGAUGUCGGAUUAGCUAGUUGGUGGGGUAAAGGCCUACCAAGGCGACGAUCCGUAGCUGGUCUGAGAGGAUGAUCAGCCACACUGGGACUGAGACACGGCCCAGACUCCUACGGGAGGCAGCAGUGGGGAAUAUUGGACAAUGGGGGCAACCCUGAUCCAGCAAUGCCGCGUGUGUGAAGAAGGCCUUCGGGUUGUAAAGCACUUUUAUCCGGAACGAAACGUGUCAGGCGAAUACCCUGGCAAACUGACGGUACCGGAGGAAUAAGCACCGGCUAACUUCGUGCCAGCAGCCGCCGUAAUACGAAGGGUGCAAGCGUUACUCGGAAUUACUGGGCGUAAAGGGUGCGUAGGUGGGUUUGUUAAGUCUGCUGUGAAAUCCCCGGGCUCAACCUGGGAAUGGCAGUGGAUACUGGCAAGCUUGAGUGCGGUAGAGGGUAGUGGAAUUCCCGGUGUAGCAUUGGAAUGCUUUGAGAUCGGGGGGAACACCAGGUUG